UACGGAGGGAGCUAGCGUUGUUCGGAAUUACUGGGCGUAAAGCGCACGUAGGCGGCGAUUUAAGCCAGAGGUGAAAAGCCCGGGGCGUCAACCCCGACCGUAACGUCGUUCGUUAGACGUACGGUAGUUAGUUCGUACGUAAAGUAACUUUCGGUUAGGGAAGGGACGGGACGGUAGGGUAAGGUUAACCGUUACCGGUAGGUUAGGUAAGGGUA
rnacentral:rRNA from 1 species